GAUGAACGCUGGCGGCGUGCCUAAUACAUGCAAGUCGAGCGAACAGACGAGGAGCUUGCUCCUCUGACGUUAGCGGCGGACGGGUGAGUAACACGUGGUUAACCUACCUAUAAGACUGGGAUAACUUCGGGAAACCGGAGCUAAUACCGGAUAAUAUAUUGAACCGCAUGGUUCAAUAGUGAAAGACGGUUUUGCUGUCACUUAUAGAUGGAUCCGCGCCGCAUUAGCUAGUUGGUAAGGUAACGGCUUACCAAGGCAACGAUGCGUAGCCGACCUGAGAGGGUGAUCGGCCACACUGGAACUGAGACACGGUCCAGACUCCUACGGGAGGCAGCAGUAGGGAAUCUUCCGCAAUGGGCGAAAGCCUGACGGAGCAACGCCGCGUGAGUGAUGAAGGUCUUCGGAUCGUAAAACUCUGUUAUUAGGGAAGAACAAAUGUGUAAGUAACUAUGCACGUCUUGACGGUACCUAAUCAGAAAGCCACGGCUAACUACGU
rnacentral:rRNA from 1 species